rnacentral:misc_RNA from 1 species
UGUUCGACGAUGUUCGACGAUGUUCGACGACACA